UGAGUUUGAUCAUAGCUCAGAAGGAACRCUAGCUAUAUGCUUAACACAUGCAAGUCGAACAUGAUUUUCUGGGAGCUGGGCARAAGGAAAAGAGGCUCAACGCUAAAGUAGUCUUGCCCUGCUUCAAAAUGUAAGGGCGUGCGUGUAGGCGAAGAUUUUAAGCCUCCGUUUGCUGGAAUCAGAAUAGUUAAGAACAAAGUGGCGAACGGAUGUGUAACGCAUGGGAAUCUGCURAACAGUUCGGGCCAAAUCCUGAAUUAAGAUCAAAAGCGCUGUUUGAUGAGCCUGCAUAGUAUCAAGUAGUUGGUCAGGUAAAGGCUGACCUAGCCAAUAAUUCUUAGCUUGUCUUUUCAGAUGAUCAGCCACACUGUGAMUGAGACACUGACAAGACUCCCACAGGGUGUAGCAGUGGGGACUCUUGGACAAUGGGCGAAAGCCCGAUCUAGCAAUAUCGUGUGAGUGAAGAAGGGAAAURCCUCUUGUAAAGCUCUUUCGUUGAGUGCGCGAUCAUGACAGGACUCAAGGAAGAAGCCCAGGCUAACUCUGUGCCAGCAGCCGYGGUAAGACCCGCGGGGGGGAGAUAAACAAUGGGGUGUGAAAGCAUGGGGAGCGAACAGGAUUAGACACUCUGGUAGUCCAUGACGUAAACGAUGAGUGUUCGCCCUUGGUCUACACGGAUCAGGGGCCCAGCUAAUGCGUGAAACACUCCGCUUGGGGAGUACGGUCGCAAGACCGAAACUCAAAGGAAUUGACGGGGGCCUGCACAAGCGGUGGAGCAUGUGGUUUAAUUUGAUACAACACGCAAAAUCUUACCAUCCCUUGACAUAUGAACAACAAAACAUGAACUUAAUGGGAUGGUACUGACUUUCAUACAGGUGCUGCAUUACUGUCGUCAGCUCGUGUCGUGAGAUAUUUGGUCAAGUCCUAUAACGAGCGAAACCCCUGUAUUGUGUUGCUGAGACACGCGCCUAAGGAGAAAUGGCAACCGAAGUGAGCCGAUUGACGUGCCAGCGCUACUACUUGAGUGCCAGCACGUAGCUGUGCUUUCAGCAAGAGUUUUACAGGAGCCAGCGCCUUUCGAAGCACUUUCACAUGUGAACCGAAGUCGUCUUGUGUCACUCGUUCCUCUAUCUGUUGUAAUGUCAAAGUACCUGUGACCAUGAUGGUUUAGUUAGGCUUGGUUACAAUGAYGUCGAGUUGGCGGCGGAGGAAGACUCGACAUUUAGGUGAGACACUCGGUGGUGUGGUACRUAGUGGUAAUAGUACGCGCACCACUCYGAAACAAAGAAAAAGGUGCGUGCCGCACUCACGAGAGACUGUCAGGGAGAUACUGGAGGAAGGUAUGGAUUAYGACAAGUCCGCAUGGCCAUUAUGGACUGGGCCACACACGUGCUACAAUGGUAAUGACAAUAGGAAGCAAGGCUGUAAGGCGAAGCGAAUCCAGAAAGAUUGCCUCAGUUCGGAUUGUUCUCUGCCACUCGGGAAYAUGAAGUUGGCAUCACUAGUAAUCGUGGAUUAGCAUGCCGCGGUGAAUAUGUACCCAGGCCCUGUACACACYGCCCGUCACACCCUGGGAAUUGGUUUCACCCGAAGCAUCGGACCAAUGAUCACCCAUGACUUCUGUGUACCACUAGUGCCACAAAGGMUUUUGGUGGUCUUAUUGGCGCAUAGCACGAUGGGGUCUUCGACUGGGGUGAAGUCAUAAUAAGGUAGCCAUAGGGAAACUUGUGGCUA
rnacentral:rRNA from 1 species